GGGGAUUAGUGGCGAACGGGUGAGUMACACGUGAGUAACCUGCCCUUGWCUCUGGGAUAAGCCUGGGAAACUGGGUCUAAUACCGGAUAUGACUBWCUAUCGCAUGGUGGUUGGUGGAAAGCUUUUGUGGUUUUGGAUGGACUCGCGGCMUAUCAGCUUGUUGGDGAGGUAAUGGCUUMCCAAGGCGACGACGGGUAGCCGGCCUGAGAGGGUCACCGSCCACACUGGGACUGAGACACGGCCCAGWCUCCUACGGGAGGCAGCAGUGGGGAAUAUUGCACAAUGGGCGCAAGCCUGAUGCAGCGACGCCGCGUGAGGGAUGACSGCCUUCGGGUUGUAAACCUCUUUCAGUAGGGAAGAAGCGAGAGUGA
rnacentral:rRNA from 1 species